CUUGCAAAUUGGUAAGAAGCCAAAGUCCCAGCCCUGAAGAUUUCCUAAUGGAGACCUGAAGCUGCUGGCAGAGCAGCUGGGGCUGCCACGGGGAGCAGGGCAGCUGCCCAGCUGCUGCAUUCCCAGAGCUCCAGAGGGAUAGCGAGCACAGAGUGUUUCUGCACCAGGGGAUGGAUGCUGUUUCAACAGAACAGGAGGAAGCACUGACCUCUACUGCAGCAAGUGUUUGUCCUGACUCUCUCCUUCGCCAGAUUUCACGUCACAGAGUGCACCAGGAACGGAGGUCACCUCAUCUAAAGUGAAGGUCCUUCAGGCCGGAAACUGUUUGCAAUGCAUGGAGUGACCAGAGCCUGGGCUGCAUCAGGAGAAGUGUGGCCAGCAGGGCCAGGGAGGUGAUUCUCCCCCUCUACUCCACUCUGCUGAGACCUCACCUGGAGUACUGCAUCCAGUUCUGGAGCCCCCAUUACAAGAAGGAUGUGGACGUGCUGGAGUGUGUCCAGAGAAGGGCCACUGGGAUAAUCAGAAGGCUGCAGCAGCUCUACUAUGAGGACAGACUGAAACAGUUGUGGCUGUUCAGUCUGGAGAAGAGGAGGCUUCCAGGUGACCUUCUUGUGGCCUUCCAGUAUCUGAAGGGGGCCUACAAAAAAGCUGGGGAAGGACUUUUCAGGAUACCAGGGAGUGACAGGACUGGGGGGAAUGGAGUGAAGCUGGAGAUGGGUAGGUUGACUGGACGUGAGGAGGAAGUUGUUGAGCAUGAGAGUGGUGAGAGGCUGGAAUGGGUUGCCCAGGGACAUGGUUGAGGCCCCAUCCUUGGAGGUGUUUAAGGCCAGGGUGGAUGGGGUUGUGGGCAGCCUGAUGUAGGGUAGGAUGUCCCUGGGCAUGGCAGGGGGGCUGGAACUAGAUGAUCUUUGUGGUCCCUUCCAACCCUGACUGAUUCUAUGACAUGAAACUCUCCCAGCAAUUUUCAAAACAUGCAACCCACAAAUCACCUUCACCUGGGCCCAAAUUUGCAUGAACCUGGGGGGGGUCAUGUGUCUAAUUCACCAGGACUCCAACCAGUCCCAGCUGCGCUUGAAGCAUGCAACAGAGUUCUACAGCUUUCAGAUGGCGCAGGGGCCGGAGCGCAGGGAUGGGAGUGCAGGGGUGCGAGAGCG